UGAAGCUCAACUAAGAACAAACACACACAGGGAUAUGGGACACCCAAAGGAGAUAAUCGGAGAUAUUCCAAACGGAACAAAAAUCUUCAGCAAGAAACUAGCAAAAACUGAUAGAGAUUUUCAGUUAAUUGUUCCGGAGCGAGUUUUCGAGCAAUUUGCUAUUGAGAAUGGAUCUUACGAGAGGGACUUUACUGCAUUCGAUGCAGGCGGUCGUAAAUGGGAAUUCAUACUAGCCAUUCGUCAAACUGGUUCGUAUGAUAAACCAGUUCUUCGGCCAUGCAAAUGGCAUGAAUUUGUGGUAGCGCACGGUCUCUCUGGGGAUGAUGCAGAAUAUGGAGUGGUGUUUUACAAAGACGACAAUGACAAUGGCAAACUGCAAGUUAGAGGCCUGAAAAAGAAUCACAGCCCCUUAUUUGGUAAGGCAAUUUGGGAAAAAGUAUGAGAAUUUUUCACCUUGAAGGUGAUCACUUGUCUCAUCAUCAGCUUCCUUUCUUUGAAAUUGAAAUGUGGGUCUUUAAUUAGCUUGAUAUGCCUUUAGCUUAAAGCUUAGUUGUUGUAGUAGCUCAAUGGCAUGGGAAUUGCUGAUCAAGCAGUGCAUGAUCCCAAGGCUUAGUUGUGUGUCACUAAACUCAAAAGGUUUGGAUUAGAAGUUUAUAGGCUAGUUAUGCAUUAAGCAAGCAGGUGCUCCCACCCUUGUCAGCACCCUAAUAAUUAACUUGUGUUUGGUUGUGCAUGGUUAUGGUUUUAGAAACAGAUUUGUCUAGCACGUUUUUCAUGUGAAAGAUUGUAUCUUGUAAUGUUGUUUUAAUAAUGAAAUUGUAGUUUGU
rnacentral:misc_RNA from 1 species